AUGUGUUAUCAGCUCUCGGAUAUGACUCUUUCCUCACUCUAUUCUAUCUUUUACUCCUCCCUUCUGUCCUCUCCUGUCAUCUAUCCUUCCUCUCCCCAUCCCUUCUGUCCUCACCUGUCAUCUAUCCCUCCUCUCCUCCUCCCUUAUGUCCUCACCUGUCAUCUAUCCUUCCUCUCCCCCUCCCUUCUGUCCUCACCUGUCAUCUAUCCUUCCUCUCCUCUUCCCUUCUGUCCUCUCCUGACAUCUAUCCUUCCUCUCCUCUUCCCUUCUGACCUCUACUUUCAUCUAAUCCAUCCGUCCUCUCCUGACAUCUAUCCUUCCUCUCCCCCUCCCUUUUGUCCUCUCCUGUCAUCUAUCCUUCCUCUCCUGACAUCUAUCAUCCCUCUCCUGACAUCUAUCCUUCCUCUCACUCUCCCUUGUCCCUCUCCUGUCUUCUAUCCUUCCUCCUGACCUAAUACUUCCUCUCCCCCUCCCUCUGUCCUCCCCUCCCUCAUCAUCCUUCCUCUCUCCCCCACCCUUCUGUCCUCUCCUAUCAUCUAUCCUUCCUCUCCUGACAUCUAUCCUUCCUCUCCCCCCCCCCUCCCUUCUGUCCUCUUCCUGUCUUCUAUCCUUCCUCUCCUGAACAUCUAUUUCCUUCCUUCGCCCCCUUCCUUCCUGUCCCUCUCCGAUUCCCUUUGCUUUUCUUCUUUGUGACACCAUGUUUUUGUUCAGGUUAUCCCUUUAUUCCUCUCUGUCCUUCUUGCUACUGCAAUAUUUCACUGUUCUGCAUAAACUGGACCAUUGACUGUCCAGAAAGGUGUCACUUUGCACUUCUUCAUGGACCGUGGACACAAACAAGCUGAGGCAGCCAGCAGCAGUGAAAUGCACUAGGCCCACAGCAUUGUAGUACGGCCACCCCGCAGAACAUCUAUUUUAAGCAGUGGUCCAUAAUGGUCCAAUUAAAACCACUGAAAUAGUCAAAAGAAGCUCUCCUACUCUGUCUGAUUUCAGAUUAGCCGAUACUGACCUCAGGUCCACCUGAUUGUAAGGAUGUCCACCCCGACGACCCAGAUCACUGACCUUAGGACAGUUGGCAAGAAUAUGAUCCUUCCUAUCCUCCCUACCUCAGUGCCUAUAGGGCAGUGUUUCCCAAACUCUGGAUCUCAAGGGGUGCAUGUAUUUUGCCCUAACCCUACACAGGUGAUUCAAAUUAUCAAAGCUUGCACCCCCAAACGUGCACCCCUUGGGUCCCGAGGACCGAGUUUGUGAAACCCUGCUUCAGGGCUUUCACUUAUCAAUAUCCGAAACACCCUCACCCCUUAAAAUGUGCUCAUCUCUGAGGGUAGUGGUGUCGCGGAGAGCCAAGUACUCUCUAGAGGAAAGUUGCGGGACGGGACAUGGGAUUUGUAAUGAGGCACUCUGUAUGAAUCUUCACAAAGGAUGCUUAGCUAACAAGUAGUAGAUCUCUUAGCUCUAGUAUAGCCCUGGCGGCCUGAGUGGUACUCAUAUACCUCUCUACACACAUUUGGUACUUUCACUCUCUCUCUCUCUCACACACACACACACACACACACACACAUUCACACCUGGGUGUCUCAGCCUGACUACUGUAAGCAGACACAAAUGUAGACAUAGCUGUGGACUCCCCGUAUCUCCUGAUGCUGUCGUGAUUUAGCUCAUUACAUUAGCACCGGGCGAGUUAACCUCUGCAUUAACACAACACACUCCCUUCCACUUUAUAACCAGCACAGCUUUACUCUGAACCUCUUGGCACCGCGCGGCACCAUUUUUCACACUUUCCUCUUGGCAAGCAUGUCUGAAAACCAAAACCUCCCGGGAAGAAGAAAGGAGAGCAAAGGCUCAGUUUUUGUGAAGGUGCCUACUGUAGGGGCCUACUGUGUGUUUGUUGACCCUAGCCCAUUGUGUGUCCUGGUGUUGUUGACCCUAACCCAUUGUGUGUCCUGGUGUUGUUGACCC
rnacentral:lncRNA from 1 species